rnacentral:rRNA from 1 species
UGGGGAAUCUUCCGCAAUGGGCGAAAGCCUGACGGAGCAACGCCGCGUGAGUGAUGACGGCCUUCGGGUUGUAAAGCUCUGUGAUCGGGGACGAACGGUCGGCAGACGAAUACUCUGCUGAAGUGACGGUACCCGAAUAGCAAGCCACGGCUAACUACGUGCCAGCAGCCGCGGUAAUACGUAGGUGGCAAGCGUUGUCCGGAAUUAUUGGGCGUAAAGGGCGCGCAGGCGGCGUCGUAAGUCGGUCUUAAAAGUGCGGGGCUUAACCCCGUGAGGGGACCGAAACUGCGAUGCUAGAGUAUCGGAGAGGAAAGCGGAAUUCCUAGUGUAGCGGUGAAAUGCGUAGAUAUUAGGAGGAACACCAGUGGCGAAAGCGGCUUUCUGGACGACAACUGACGCUGAGGCGCGAAAGCCAGGGGAGCAAACGGGAUUAGAUACCCUGGUAGU